rnacentral:rRNA from 1 species
GAAUCUUGCGCAAUGCGCGAAAGCGUGACGCAGCAACGCCGCGUGGGGGAAGAAGGCCUUCGGGUUGUAAACCCCUUUCAGGAGGGACGAAGGUGCGACGGUGAAUAGCCGCUCGCACUGACGGUACCUCCACAAGAAGCUCCGGCUAACUACGUGCCAGCAGCCGCGGUAAUACGUAGGGAGCUAGCGUUGUCCGGAAUCAUUGGGCGUAAAGCGCGCGUAGGCGGCCCGGUAAGUCCGUUGUGAAAGUCGAAGGCUCAACCUUCGAAAGCCGAUGGAAACUGCCGGGCUAGAGUCCGGAAGAGGCGAGUGGAAUUCCUGGUGUAGCGGUGGAAUGCGCAGAUAUCAGGAGGAACACCGAUAGCGAAGGCAGCUCGCUGGGACGGUACUGACGCUGAGGCGCGAAAGCGUGGGGAGCGAACAG